AUUGAACGCUGGCGGCAGGCCUAACACAUGCAAGUCGAACGGUAACAGGAAACAGCUUGCUGUUUCGCUGACGAGUGGCGGACGGGUGAGUAAUGUCUGGGAAACUGCCUGAUGGAGGGGGAUAACUACUGGAAACGGUAGCUAAUACCGCAUAACGUCGCAAGACCAAAGAGGGGGACCUUCGGGCCUCUUGCCAUCGGAUGUGCCCAGAUGGGAUUAGCUAGUAGGUGGGGUAACGGCUCACCUAGGCGACGAUCCCUAGCUGGUCUGAGAGGAUGACCAGCCACACUGGAACUGAGACACGGUCCAGACUCCUACGGGAGGCAGCAGUGGGGAAUAUUGCACAAUGGGCGCAAGCCUGAUGCAGCCAUGCCGCGCGUAUGAAGAAGGCCUUCGGGUUGUAAAGUACUUUCAGCGGGGAGGAAGGGAGUAAAGUUAAUACCUUUGCUCAUUGACGUUACCCGCAGAAGAAGCACCGGCUAACUCCGUG
rnacentral:rRNA from 1 species